rnacentral:rRNA from 1 species
UACGUAGGGGGCAAGCGUUAUCCGGAAUUACUGGGUGUAAAGGGAGCGUAGGCGGCAUGGUAAGUAAGAUGUGAAAGCCCGAGGCUUAACCUCGAGGAUUGCAUUUUAAACUAUCAAGCUAGAGUACAGGAGAGGAAAGCGGAAUUCCUAGUGUAGCGGUGAAAUGCGUAGAUAUUAGGAAGAACACCAGUGGCGAAGGCGGCUUUCUGGACUGAAACUGACGCUGAGGCUCGAAAGCGUGGGGAGCAAACAGG